GACGAACGCUGGUGGCGUGCCUAAUACAUGCAAGUAGAACGCUGAAGCGAGGAGCUUGCUCUUCUUGGAUGAGUUGCGAACGGGUGAGUAACGCGUAGGUAACCUGCCUUGUAGCGGGGGAUAACUAUUGGAAACGAUAGCUAAUACCGCAUAACAAUGGAUGACCCAUGUCAUUUAUUUGAAAGGGGCAAAUGCUCCACUACAAGAUGGACCUGCGUUGUAUUAGCUAGUAGGUGAGGUAACGGCUCACCUAGGCGACGAUACAUAGCCGACCUGAGAGGGUGAUCGGCCACACUGGGACUGAGACACGGCCCAGACUCCUACGGGAGGCAGCAGUAGGGAAUCUUCGGCAAUGGGGGCAACCCUGACCGAGCAACGCCGCGUGAGUGAAGAAGGUUUUCGGAUCGUAAAGCUCUGUUGUAAGUCAAGAACGAGUGUGAGAGUGGAAAGUUCACACUGUGACGGUAGCUUACCAGAAAGGGACGGCUAACUACGUG
rnacentral:rRNA from 1 species